rnacentral:rRNA from 1 species
AAUGAACGCUGGCGGCGUGCCUAACACAUGCAAGUCGUACGAGAAAUCCCGAGCUUGCUUGGGAGAGUAAAGUGGCGCACGGGUGAGUAACGCGUGGGUAACCCACCCUCGAAUCUGGGAUAACUCCGCGAAAGCGGUGCUAAUACCGGAUAAGACCACAUUCCGUUCGCGGAAAGAGGUAAAAGCUGACCUCUCCAUGGAAGUUAGCGUUUGAGGACGGGCCCGCGUCCUAUCAGCUUGUUGGUGGGGUAAUGGCCUACCAAGGCAGCGACGGGUAGCUGGUCUGAGAGGAUGAUCAGCCACACUGGAACUGGAACACGGUCCAGACUCCUACGGGAGGCAGCAGUGAGGAAUUUUGCGCAAUGGGGGAAACCCUGACGCAGCAACGCCGCGUGGGUGAAGAAGGCUUUCGGGUCGUAAAGCCCUGUCAGGUGGGAAGAAACUCUUCAGUACUAAUAAUGCUGAAGCCUGACGGUACCACCAGAGGAAGCACCGGCCAACUCCGUG